AUUGAACGCUGGCGGCAGGCCUAACACAUGCAAGUCGAACGAUUCGCGGACGGGUGAGUAAUGUCUGGGAAACUGCCUGAUGGAGGGGGAUAACUACUGGAAACGGUAGCUAAUACCGCAUACCAUCGGAUGUGCCUAGAUGGGAUUAGCUAGUGGGUGGGGUAAAGGCUCACCUAGGCGACGACCCCUAGCUGGUCUGAGAGGAUGACCAGCCACACUGGAACUGAGACACGGUCCAGACUCCUACGGGAGGCAGCAGUGGGGAAUAUUGCACAAUGGGCGCAAGCCUGAUGCAGCCAUGCCGCGUGGAUGAAGAAGGCCUUCGGGUUGUAAAGUACUUUCAGCGGGGAGGCGUUACCCGCAGAAGAAGCACCGGCUAACUCCGUGCCAGCCGCCGCGGUAAUUC
rnacentral:rRNA from 1 species